GGCCCUUCCGCCAUAUCACGGAAGGUCAUACCUGCACAAUGCCUCGAGGGGUCAAUUGCCGCGGUAGCCUGACCGUGCUAAGGUAGCGUAAUCAAUAGCCUAUUAAUUGUUGGCCUGUAUCAAUGGUCUCACGCUGGCGGCGCUGUCUCUUCGGUACUUAUUCGAAUUUAACCUGAGGGUGAAAAGGCCCUAAUAAAACUGAAAGACGAUUAGACCCUAUCGAACUUUGGGAAGACUGUUCUGCUAAGGGGUAACUCCCAUGACAAACAGAAAACCUUUGGUUGGGGAAACCGGGAGCCAUACAAAACGCUCGCCCACCACCUACACUCAUCACGAGCGACCCUGCGGUGUUGACCGCUUUCAAAGAGCUCGGGAAGCCAGAGACACGGCAGAGGGCUCUUACUUCAUUUGCCCGACGGAUACCUAAUUUAUAGUAUUAAAAGAAAAUGACAGCGCACAGCUGGCUCAUAUAAUGGACCCGACAAAGGCCUCACCAUGGGUACCCCUACUGUGCGUCCCGGGCCACAGAAAGACACUCGGGGCCUAAAGUUGCGAAUAGGGAAGAGUUACCGUAGGGAUAACAGCGUA
rnacentral:rRNA from 1 species